AGUGAACGCUGGCGGUAGGCCUAACACAUGCAAGUCGAACGGCAGCACAGUAAGAGCUUGCUCUUACGGGUGGCGAGUGGCGGACGGGUGAGGAAUACAUCGGAAUCUACUUUUUCGUGGGGGAUGACGUAGGGAAACUUACGCUAAUACCGCAUACGACCUACGGGUGAAAGCAGGGGAUCUUCGGACCUUGCGCGAUUGAAUGAGCCGAUGUCGGAUUAGCUAGUUGGCGGGGUAAAGGCCCACCAAGGCGACGAUCCGUAGCUGGUCUGAGAGGAUGAUCAGCCACACUGGAACUGAGACACGGUCCAGACUCCUACGGGAGGCAGCAGUGGGGAAUAUUGGACAAUGGGCGCAAGCCUGAUCCAGCCAUACCGCGUGGGUGAAGAAGGCCUUCGGGUUGUAAAGCCCUUUUGUUGGGAAAGAAAAGCAGCAGGUUAAUACCCCGCUGUUCUGACGGUACCCAAAGAAUAAGCACCGGCUAACCUCGUG
rnacentral:rRNA from 1 species